CACUGGCCUUUCAUGUUGUCCAUGGGUGAACCCCGUACCCAGAAUCCAGAGUCCAGAAUCCCGAAUCUCACCCUCCGACGAGCACACACAUGAAACUUGGAUGGACACAAAUCCGCUUUUAUAUUUUCAACUGUCAAUCGUCGUCGCAAUUUCCCCGUCCUUCGUCCUUCGUCCUCCGUCGGCUUCACUUUGUAGGUGUUGGAAUUAUAAUCAAAGUCCAGUGUCCAGUACCAACCCCCCAACCCAAAAAAAGAAAAACACACACCCAGUUCGCAUUCCUUGCAUUAUCUUGGCUCACACACUCGCAUGCUGUGUCGAACUUUUCCCACUCGAUUUUAUUUCAUUUUAUUCGCUUUUCUUUUUUUUUUCUUUUGGCCCACAAAUUGUAAAGCGAAAAAAAUCCAACAAAAUUCGUUCUUAAUGCCCUCUUUUCACUUGACUGACAGGCUCUCGGUCUCCACUUUCUUCUCUUCCAAGCUUCCAUUG
ensembl:ncRNA lncRNA:CR44598 long non-coding RNA:CR44598